rnacentral:misc_RNA from 1 species
UUUCCGUAGGUGAACCUGCGGAAAGAUCAUUAAAGAAUUUGCCCCGUCCUCUCGAGGAUGGGUCCUCUUCUAAACCGUGUAUACAUACCUUUGUUGCUUUGGCGGGCCGCCGUCUCGGCGUUGGCUUCGUCUGACUGUGCCCGCCAGAGAACCCCAACUCUUCUGUUUAGUAUUGUCUGAGUACUAUAUAAUAGUUAAAACUUUCAACAACGGAUCUCUUGGUUCUG